CAGUAGCCGCGGUAAUACGAAGGGUGCAAGCGUUACUCGGAAUCACUGGGCGUAAAGCGUGCGUAGGUGGUGGCUUAAGUCCGUUGUGAAAGCCCUGGGCUCAACCUGGGAAUUGCAGUGGAUACUGGGUCACUAGAGUGUGGUAGAGGAUAGUGGAAUUCCCGGUGUAGCAGUGAAAUGCGUAGAGAUCGGAAGGAACAUCUGUGGCGAAGGCGACUAUCUGGGCCAACACUGACACUGAGGCACGAAAGCGUGGGGAGCAAACAGGAUUAGAGACCCCUGUAGUCCCUGUCUCUUAUAC
rnacentral:rRNA from 1 species